rnacentral:rRNA from 1 species
CAGUAGCCGCGGUAACACGUAGGGUGCAAGCGUUAAUCGGAAUUACUGGGCGUAAAGCGUGCGCAGGCGGUUAUAUAAGACAGAUGUGAAAUCCCCGGGCUCAACCUGGGAACUGCAUUUGUGACUGUAUAGCUAGAGUACGACAGAGGGGGAUGGAAUUCCGCGUGUAGCAGUGAAAUGCGUAGAUAUGCGGAGGAACACCGAUGGCGAAGGCAAUCCCCUGGGCCUGUACUGACGCUCAUGCACGAAAGCGUGGGGAGCAAACAGGAUUAGAUACCCCCGUAGUCCCUGUCUCUUAUAA